AAUGUAGAUGCAGCCAGGCAGGGUCUAGCACUGAAAUUCGAAAUUUUAACCCUCAAUUUUAAAUAUUUUUUAAAAUAUUUUAAAAUAGGUGGGUCUGGGCAGGUGUAGCUGCCUCAGCUCGUGCCGUGCUGUGCUCAGGGUCACCUUGUCCUGGGUCACGGGGAAUUUUUGCAGCUGAAAUUUUUCUCUUCAAAAAAACCCUCAAAUAAUAUGUUUUCCCUGUACAAAAUAUAAAAAAAUAAAUAAAUAAAACACAAACUAGGUCUUUUAUACACGCAGCUGUUCCCAUCCUCCUCCUCCUCCUCAGCAAAUGCUAAAAUUAUCUGGGAACAGAUUCUAUUUGAGUUCAAAAUUACUACAAUUUCAAUAAAAUAUUUGUGCAAAAAGUUCAAACGAGCAAAUUUCUGCAUCCUUCAGUGGUAAAAACUAAAAUUUAAUUUUGGACAAGUUUUGCUGCGCUCCCCUUGUGUUUUGGGAAGCCCAGACAGGUUCAGGAGCUGAAUAUUACAAAAUUAUAUUUUCUAAAUGUUCUCUGCUGAAGAAAGUUUGGAUUCUGUCACAUUUUUUUCUGACUGGAGAAACUCGGUUUGUGUUUUAUCAACAACAGAAGCUCUUUGGGUGAUUUUUGAUUCGAUGAUGAAACUUCCCACCAUGUCAGCAGCGUCCAAAACUUUCCAAAAUCAAAUUUCUCACCCUUUGCAGGAAAUUUUCAAUAAAUUCCCCGAAAAUAAAUAACUCCUGGCUUUCCCAGCUCUUUCCUAUUCUUAGAAUGGCUGCAGUUGCUGUGCUCCCAGACCAUUAACUUCCUUUUUUUUUUGUGUUUGUGGAGUUUUUGUUUGGCCGUUUCCAUCCCCAACUGAACCCACGUGGAUUAGUUUCCAGGUGGGAGGAGGAAGAAACCCAGGAAAUAAAUUGAGGCAGGAAAUAAAGGAAGGAGGAAUUAAGGAGAUAAAUCAAGGGAGGAAGUGAAGGAGGAAGAAAAUUAAAGAAAAAAAAAAAGAUCAAGUGAGGAAACCAUUUGGAAAUGAGGAGCAGCAGCUGGCCUGGGCGAAGAGGGAGAGUGAAAAAGCAGAGCAAGAAAGAUUGGCUCGGUUACGGCGACAAGAACAGGAAGACCUCGAGUUGGCCAUUGCACUCAGUAAGGCUGACAUGCCAAACUCCUAAAAUUUGGGGCUCUGGAGAAAGGAAAAAAACCUCGCAGCAAGGCUUUUAUAAAAUUACUAAACCCUUGGUUGAUCUUGUGAAAAGUUCUUUUAGUCACCUUGAGAUGCGAGCGCGAAAAAAACCCCGCAGGAAGCGCUGUAUAAUCUGUAUUAUAAUUGUUCUAGAUCCAAUUUAUUGCUUGUAAGAAAUUUUAACGUGUAACCCCCUAAAAUGCUGAAAAGUUUCUUUCUCUGCAACCCAGAGUGAGCUGCAGCUGGUGAUUUUGAUGGGCUGAAUUCCACGGGGUCUUGGAGGCUGCGGGAUGAAUUUCCCACAAAAUUGCCAUGAAAAAAAUGAGAAUAUUCAUAGAAUUAGCUUUCACUUGUUGCAUUUAUUUAAAAAUUCGUGGUUGGCUAAUCAGGAUGUCUUCUGCAUCAUUAUGGCAAGGCAUAAAUUGAUUAUUGGAUUUUAUCCARGAUGUCUUCUGCAUCAUUAUGKCAAGGCAUAARUUGAUUAUUGGGUUUUAUCCAGAAGAUGUGGCUUUUUACAGAAGAAUCUGGAAAUGUAGAUGGAUACAAAACAGCGAAUUUUGUAAAACAGAACAAAUUUAAAAGCUCUAGAAAUUAGCAGAAAUUAGAAAUUCUUCUAAUGGAAACAUUUGUUUGCGUUGAGUUUUAAUAAUUGUGACUAAAAGUUAAUUCAGCUGUGGUAAAUGGGAUAAAUAAUCCAGCAGUGGAGGGAUGAAGUGAAAAUUGUGCUUUGCUGGAAGCUGACAGGAUUUUCAGGGUGCUGCUGAUGCACCUUUGGGUGCUGCUUUCAUCCAGAAAUCAAGAAAUGGAAAAGUUGACAAAAAAUUUGAGGAGUUUUCACCCCUCCAACUCAUUGUAGCUUCAUUUCCUCCAACUCCCAGCACCCAGCCCGGGCUGUGUCACCCUCUGGGACCGUCCCUCCUUCAAUUCCCCCUCUUUGGGGUUACAAUUUAGCAGAUUUAGCUGAGCUAAAGCCAAAUUGAAUCCAUUUUUAGUUGCCAAAUUCACAUUCACCCAUCAGUUCUGGCAGCACUGGUGGUCUGGGCUGGCUCUGAAAUGCAAUUUUGCAGCAUUCAGACCAGGGAGGAGCAGGUUUUGUGUGCACUGAAUUUUUCACCUGUGAAGGACAGCAGAGAGGGUGUUUGACUUGUCAUAGGAAAAAAAAAAAAUAACUCUGUGAAUUUAAUUUGCUUCCUAGAAAUGCCUUUUCUGAUUACAGGAAUUCCAGAAUUUCAGUUGUGUUUGCCUUGGAGUUUUCUCUCCUAGAGUAGGGAUCCAGCAGAACAUUUUUAAACGUCCUCAGUCUUUUUUCCUGCCCUUUGUUCUCUGGGAAUACAAAGCUUUACAUUCUGGGUUUUAUCCAUGCAGCCCUGACCUUACAACAUUUUCUCUAAUUUUUUUCUUUUAUUUCUUUUUAAUGUGAUGUUCCUUCAUCACCUUUCACCCAUUUCUAUUUUUUAUUUCCUUUUCACCCUCCAAUGUUAGUGCCUGUUGAGUGAAUGAAAACAAAUCUUUCCCAGUUCUGUUGGGGUUUGCCUUAUCCCGAGUGUUUUUCCCUCACCAGAUCAGAUCCUUUUGGGGCAUCUCGAUGGUUUUCAGCUCUGAAAUGCAGCCAAAUUGUGACAUUUGGAAUCUCAGGAUUUUGUGAUCCACUUUUGGGAUGGUUUUUUUAGGAAUCACAGCUCCCCUUUUGCUAAUGGUACCACAAUUAAUGCGAACCUUUUCUCCUCAGGAGGGGAGAAGAUUUAUUUUUAAUACCAAAACCAACGGUGUAAUGAUCAUUAAUCCUGUCCUUUAAUGAGCCCUCUGGGAUGCAAUGGAAGCUAUUUGUGAUUUGGCAGAGCCUGAUUUGAAAUCCCUUCCCCUUUGUGGUUGUUUUUCUCUAAAAUGUGUUUGAUGACGUGAUCAAACAUCCUAAAAUGUAAAAAAAAAAAAUCUGUUGGUGUAGAGGAUUUGAAGUCUGUGAGAGCUGACUUGGAUCUGUGUAGAUACCACAAUAUAAAACUUUUGCCGUGAAAGAGCAAUUUUCCAAAGCAAUUUUUCCAAUAAAAUUUAGAAAGGAAUGCCAGUUCUGUCCUGGGUGAUGUCACCCCAGUGGGACAGGGACUUUGACUGAACACCUUGAUUCAUUUUUUAAGCUCUGCACCUUAACAAGACUUUCUGCUGCUUUGUCAGAGCACUAAAAUACUGAAUUUAUAAUUCUUCCAAGCCACUGAGAUGGUGUUUUCCAGAUGUCCAGCAGGGAGGCAGAAGGGUGAAUUAAUCCAGCAUUCUUUUAUCAUGUUGGGCUCAUUUUUAUAUUUCUUUAUUAAAUCUUCCUCGUAUUUGCUUGAAGGACAGAACACAACACGUUUUCUAUGCAGAAUUAGAUUUAGGAACCUCAAUUUUACUGAAACACUCUUGAUUCAAAAGGUUAGAACACUUAGAUGUGAUUCCUCACUUUGUAUUUCCUGUGGUUUUCCAUAAAAAAAAGGAAGAUUCCCCACAUUCUUUCCCUGUGCAGUAAUUGAGUGUUUGUACAACACCUGCCCUUUCUCUCUGAGGCAAAACUCUUUGUAAAAACCUGAAUUUUCUUCCUCCAGAACAGCCAAAUUCAAAGCACAAGCAGACCUGCUGCUAUUUGGGCAGAGAAAA